UUCAGCAGACUACCCAUAGGAGUGAUCAACCUGUGGGUGUGCCAAAUCUCAACCAGCCAUCCUUAUGAAAUAUUAUGUCCAGUUGGGCCUAGCAAUAUCAGAUGCACCGUAUCGACUACCCAUGAUAAGGGUGCACCAUGGUGUGGUCAGCGAUAGCCCAGUUGGUAUCUUCUUGUGAAAUAUUAUAUCCAAUGGGAUCUAGCAGUAUCAGAUAUACUGUAUUGACGGUCU
rnacentral:lncRNA from 1 species